CCCUUAGAUGUUCUGGGCGGCCCGCGCACUACAUUGGCACUAGCAAAGAGAUCCUAGAUUGAAUUCUUUGGGGUAUUCUUCUAAAUGGUGUCGUGACUGGGAUAAAUCCUUGUAAUUAUUGGUUUUGAACGAGGAAUUCCUUGUAAUCGCGGUUUAUCAGCUCGCGUUGAAUGCGUCCCUGCCCUUUGUACACACCGCCCGUCGCUCCUACCGAUGGAUCGUCCGGUGAAGCGCACGGAGUGACUGUUCACGCAACGGUUUACGAAGUGAAAUGGACCUCACGAUUUAGAGGAAGGAGAAGUCGUAACA
rnacentral:rRNA from 1 species